CCUACGGGUGGCUGCAGUGGGGAAUCUUGCGCAAUGGGCGGAAGCCUGACGCAGCGACGCCGCGUGCGGGAAGAAGGCCUUAGGGUUGUAAACCGCUUUCAGGAGGGACGAAGCUACUCGGGUUAAUAGCCCAGAGGGUGACGGUACCUCCAGAAGAAGCCCCGGCUAACUACGUGCCAGCAGCCGCGGUAAUACGUAGGGGGCUAGCGUUGUCCGGAUUCAUUGGGCGUAAAGCGCGUGUAGGCGGCCAGGUAGGUCCGAUGUGAAAACUGGAGGCUCAACCACCAGCUGUCAUUGGAAACCAUCUGGCUAGAGUCCGGAAGAGGAGAGGGGAAUUCCUGGUGUAGCGGUGAAAUGCGCAGAUAUCAGGAAGAACACCUAUGGCGAAGGCAGCUCUCUGGGACGGUACUGACGCUGAGACGCGAAAGCGUGGGGAGCGAACAGGAUUAGAUACCCGUGUAGUCG
rnacentral:rRNA from 1 species